GAGUUUGAUCGUGGCUCAGAGUGAACGCUGGCGGUAGGCCUAACACAUGCAAGUCGAACGGUAACAGGUCUUUCGGGAUGCUGACGAGUGGCGAACGGGUGAGGAAUACAUCGGAAUCUGCUCAGUCGUGGGGGAUAACGCAUGGAAACGUGCGCUAAUACCGCAUACGACCUUCGGGUGAAAGCAGGGGAAUCUCUCGGGAUCCUUGCGCGAUUGAAUGAGCCGAUGUCGGAUUAGCUAGUUGGUAGGGUAAAAGCCUACCAAGGCCACGAUCCGUAGCUGGUCUGAGAGGAUGAUCAGCCACACUGGGACUGAGGCACGGCCCAGACUCCUGCGGGAGGCAGCAGUGGGGAAUAUUGGACAAUGGGGGCAACCCUGAUCCAGCCAUACCGCGUGGGUGAAGAAGGCCUUCUGGGUUGUAAAGCCCUUUUGUUGGGGAAGAAAAACAACGGGUUAAUACCCCGUUGGUAUGACGGUACCCAAAGAAUAAGCACCGGCUAACUUCGUGCCAGCAGCCGCGGUAAUACGAAGGGUGCAAGCGUUACUCGGAAUUACUGGGCGUAAAGGGUGCGUAGGUGGUUGCGCCAGUCUGUCGUGAAAGCCCUGGGCUUAACCUGGGAAUGGCGAUGGAAACUGUGCAACUAGAGUGUGACAGAGGGUGGUGGAAUUCCUGGUGUAGCAGUGAAAUGCGUAGGGAUCAGGAGGAACAUUCGUGGCGAAGGCGGCCACCUGGGUCAACACUGACACUGAGGCACGAAAGCGUGGGGAGCAAACAGGAUUAGAUACCCUGGUAGUCCACGCCCUAAACGAUGCGAACUGGAUGUUGGGUCCAACUUGGGAUUCAGUAUCGAAGCUAACGCGUUAAGUUCGCCGCCUGGGGAGUACGGUCGCAAGACUGAAACUCAAAGGAAUUGACGGGGGCCCGCACAAGCGGUGGAGUAUGUGGUUUAAUUCGAUGCAACGCGCAGAACCUUACCUGGCCUUGACAUGCACGGAACCUUUG
rnacentral:rRNA from 1 species